GUGAGGAAUUUUCCGCAAUGGGCGAAAGCCUGACGGAGCAAUGCCGCGUGAAGGAUGAAGGUCUUAGGAUUGUAAAAUUCUUUCACCGGGGACGAUAAUGACGGUACCCGGAGAAGAAGCCCCGGCUAACUUCGUGCCAGCAGCCGCGGUAAUACGAAGGGGGCUAGCGUUGCUCGGAAUUACUGGGCGUAAAGGGCGCGUAGGCGGAUCGUUAAGUCAGGGGUGAAAUCCCAGAGCUCAACUCUGGAACUGCCCUUGAUACUGGCGAUCUUGAGUGUGAGAGAGGUAUGUGGAACUCCGAGUGUAGAGGUGAAAUUCGUAGAUAUUCGGAAGAACACCAGUGGCGAAGGCGACAUACUGGCUCAUUACUGACGCUGAGGCGCGAAAGCGUGGGGAGCAAACAGGAUUAGAUACCCUAGUAGUCC
rnacentral:rRNA from 1 species